UACGUAGGGUGCGAGCGUUAAUCGGAAUUACUGGGCGUAAAGCGUGCGCAGGCGGUUUUGUAAGCCAGAUGUGAAAUCCCCGGGCUUAACCUGGGAAUGGCAUUUGGGACUGCAAGGCUGGAGUGCGGCAGAGGAGACUGGAAUUCCUGGUGUAGCAGUGAAAUGCGUAGAUAUCAGGAGGAAUACCGAUGGCGAAGGCAGGUCUCUGGGCUGACACUGACGCUCAUGCACGAAAGCGUGGGGAGCAACAAGG
rnacentral:rRNA from 1 species